rnacentral:rRNA from 1 species
ACGCUAGCGGGAGGCCUAACACAUGCAAGCCGAGCGGUAGAGAUUCUUCGGAAUCUUGAGAGCGGCGUACGGGUGCGGAACACGUGUGCAACCUGCCUUUAUCAGGGAGAUAGCCUUUCGAAAGGAAGAUUAAUAUCCCAUAAUAUUUUGAGUGGCAUCACUUAAAAUUGAAAGCUCCGGCGGAUAGAGAUGGGCACGCGCAAGAUUAGAUAGUUGGCGGGGUAACGGCCCACCAAGUCAAUGAUCUUUAGGGGGCCUGAGAGGGUGAUCCCCCACACUGGUACUGAGACACGGACCAGACUCCUACGGGAGGCAGCAGUGAGGAAUAUUGGACAAUGGGUGAGAGCCUGAUCCAGCCAUCCCGCGUGAAGGACGACGGCCCUAUGGGUUGUAAACUUCUUUUGUAUAGGGAUAAACCUACCCUCGUGAGGGUAGCUGAAGGUACUAUACGAAUAAGCACCGGCUAACUCCGUGCCAGCAGCCGCGGUAAUACGGAGGGCGCAAGCGUUAUCCGGAUUUAUUGGGUUUAAAGGGUCCGUAGGCGGACUCGUAAGUCAGUGGUGAAAUCUCAUAGCUUAACUAUGAAACUGCCAUUGAUACUGCGGGUCUUGAGUAAGGUAGAGGUAGCUGGAAUAAGUAGUGUAGCGGUGAAAUGCAUAGAUAUUACUUAGAACACCAAUUGCGAAGGCAGGUUACCAUGUCUUAACUGACGCUGAUGGACGAAAGCGUGGGGAGCGAAC